rnacentral:rRNA from 1 species
GAUGAACGCUGGCGGCGUGCCUAAUACAUGCAAGUCGAGCGAACGGACGAGAAGCUUGCUUCUCUGAUGUUAGCGGCGGACGGGUGAGUAACACGUGGAUAACCUACCUAUAAGACUGGGAUAACUUCGGGAAACCGGAGCUAAUACCGGAUGAUAUUUUGAACCGCAUGGUUCAAAAGUGAAAGACGGUCUUGCUGUCACUUAUAGAUGGAUCCGCGCUGCAUUAGCUAGUUGGUAAGGUAACGGCUUACCAAGGCAACGAUGCAUAGCCGACCUGAGAGGGUGAUCGGCCACACUGGAACUGAGACACGGUCCAGACUCCUACGGGAGGCAGCAGUAGGGAAUCUUCCGCAAUGGGCGAAAGCCUGACGGAGCAACGCCGCGUGAGUGAUGAAGGUCUUCGGAUCGUAAAACUCUGUUAUUAGGGGAGAACAUAUGUGUAAGUAACUGUGCACAUCUUGACGGUACCUAGUCAGAAAGCCACGGCUAACUACGUG